UACGAAGGGUGCAAGCGUUACUCGGAAUUACUGGGCGUAAAGCGUGCGUAGGUGGUGCGUUAAGUCUGUCGUGAAAGCCCCGGGCUCAACCUGGGAAUGGCGAUGGAUACUGGCGCGCUAGAGUGCGGUAGAGGAGAGUGGAAUUCCCGGUGUAGCAGUGAAAUGCGUAGAGAUCGGGAGGAACAUCAGUUGCGAAGGCGGCUCUCUGGACCAACACUGACACUGAGGCACGAAAGCGUGGGGAGCAAACAGG
rnacentral:rRNA from 1 species